UGUGUGUGUGUGCGUGUGUGUGUGUGUGAGUGGGACAGAACUCAGAUCAGGCUGAUGUCCAGCUACACACCCCCUUGCCAGACAGAGACCUUGACCAUCAUUGUUUGGUGGUGACACACACACACACACACACACACACACACAGG
rnacentral:miRNA from 14 species